rnacentral:rRNA from 1 species
CCUACGGGGUGCAGCAGUGGGGAAUAUUGCACAAUGGGGGAAACCCUGAUGCAGCGACGUCGCGUGAGUGAAGAAGUAAUUCGUUAUGUAAAGCUCUAUCAGCAGGGAAGUAAAUGACGGUACCUGAGUAAGAAGCCCCGUCUAACUACGUGCCAGCAGCCGCGGUAAUACGUAGGGGGCAAGCGUUAUCCGGAUUUACUGGGUGUAAAGGGAGCGUAGACGGGAUUGCAAGUCUGGAGUGAAAGGCUGGGGCUCAACCCCCGGACUGCUCUGGAGACUGGACGGCUGGAGUGCAGGAGAGGUAAGUGGAAUUCAUAGUGUAGCGGUGAAAUGCGUAGAUAUUAGGAGGAACACCAGUUGCGAAGGCGGCUUACUGGACUGUAACUGACGUUGAGGCUCGAAAGCGUGGGGAGCAAACAGGAUUAGAUACCCGGGUAGUC